rnacentral:miRNA from 1 species
AAAGAUCUUUAGUCCCGGUUGUUC